UAGGGAAUCUUCCGCAAUGGGCGAAAGCCUGACGGAGCAACGCCGCGUGAGUGAUGAAGGUCUUCGGAUCGUAAAACUCUGUUAUUAGGGAAGAACAAAUGUGUAAGUAACUAUGCACGUCUUGACGGUACCUAAUCAGAAAGCCACGGCUAACUACGUGCCAGCAGCCGCGGUAAUACGUAGGUGGCAAGCGUUAUCCGGAAUUAUUGGGCGUAAAGCGCGCGUAGGCGGUUUUUUAAGUCUGAUGUGAAAGCCCACGGCUCAACCGUGGAGGGUCAUUGGAAACUGGAAAACUUGAGUGCAGAAGAGGAAAGUGGAAUUCCAUGUGUAGCGGUGACAUGCGCAGAGAUAUGGAGGAACACCAGUGGCGAAGGCGACUUUCUGGUCUGUAACUGACGCUGAUGUGCGAAAGCGUGGGGAUCAAACAGG
rnacentral:rRNA from 1 species